AGAGUUUGAUCAUGGCUCAGGACGAACGCUGGCGGCGCGCCUAACACAUGCAAGUCGAACGAGCGAGAGAGAGUUUACUUUCUCGAGCGAGUGGCGAACGGGUGAGUAACGCGUGAGGAACCUGCCUCAAAGAGGGGGACAACAGUUGGAAACGACUGCUGAUACCGCAUAAGCCCACGACCCGGCAUCGGGUAGAGGGAAAAGGAGCAAUCCGCUUUGAGAUGGCCUCGCGUCCGAUUAGCUAGUUGGUGAGGUAACGGCCCACCAAGGCGACGAUCGGUAGCCGGACUGAGAGGUUGAACGGCCACAUUGGGACUGAGACACGGCCCAGACUCCUACGGGAGGCAGCAGUGGGGAAUAUUGCACAAUGGGGGAAACCCUGAUGCAGCGACGCCGCGUGGAGGAAGAAGGUCUUCGGAUUGUAAACUCCUGUUGUUGAGGAAGAUAAUGACGGUACUCAACAAGGAAGUGACGGCUAACUACGUGCCAGCAGCCGCGGUAAAACGUAGGUCACAAGCGUUGUCCGGAAUUACUGGGUGUAAAGGGAGCGCAGGCGGGAAGACAAGUUGGAAGUGAAAUCCAUGGGCUCAACCCAUGAACUGCUUUCAAAACUGUUUUUCUUGAGUAGUGCAGAGGUAGGCGGAAUUCCCGGUGUAGCGGUGGAAUGCGUAGAUAUCGGGAGGAACACCAGUGGCGAAGGCGGCCUACUGGGCACCAACUGACGCUGAGGCUCGAAAGUGUGGGUAGCAAACAGGAUUAGAUACCCUGGUAGUCCACACUGUAAACGAUGAUUACUAGGUGUUGGAGGAUUGACCCCUUCAGUGCUGCAGUUAACACAAUAAGUAAUCCACCCGGGGAGUACGACCGCAAGGUUGAAACUCAAAGGAAUUGACGGGGGCCCGCACAAGCAGUGGAGUAUGUGGUUUAAUUCGAUGAUACGCGAGGAACCUUACCCGGGCUUGAAUUGCAGAGGAAGGAUUUGGAGACAAUGACGCCCUUCGGGGUCUCUGUGAAGGUGCUGCAUGGUUGUCGUCAGCUCGUGCCGUGAGGUGUCGGCUUAAGUGCCAUAACGAGCGCAACCCCUCUCCUUAGUUGCCAUCAGGUUAAGCUGGGCACUCUGGGGACACUGCCACCGUAAGGUGUGAGGAAGGUGGGGAUGACGUCAAAUCAGCACGGCCCUUACGUCCGGGGCUACACACGUGUUACAAUGGCAGGUACAGAGAGACGGUUGUACGUAAGUACGAUCAAAUCCUUAAAGCCUGUCUCAGUUCGGACUGGGGUCUGCAACCCGACCCCACGAAGCUGGAUUCGCUAGUAAUCGCGCAUCAGCCAUGGCGCGGUGAAUACGUUCCCGGGCCUUGUACACACCGCCCGUCAAGCCAUGAAAGCCGGGGGCGCCUAAAGUCCGUGACCGUAAGGAGCGGCCUAGGGCGAAACUGGUAAUUGGGGCUAAGUCGUAACAAGGUA
rnacentral:rRNA from 1 species